rnacentral:rRNA from 1 species
GUCGUAGACCCGAAACCAGGUGAUCUACCCUUGGUCAGGUUGAAGUUCAGGUAACACUGAAUGGAGGACCGAACCGACUUACGUUGAAAAGUGAGCGGAUGAACUGAGGGUAGCGGAGAAAUUCCAAUCGAACUUGGAGAUAGCUGGUUCUCUCCGAAAUAGCUUUAGGGCUAGCCUCAAGUGAUGAUUAUUGGAGGUAGAGCACUGUUUGGACGAGGGGCCCCUCUCGGGUUACCGAAUUCAGACAAACUCCGAAUGCCAAUUAAUUUAACUUGGGAGUCAGAACAUGGGUGAUAAGGUCCGUGUUCGAAAGGGAAACAGCCCAGACCACCAGCUAAGGUCCCAAAAUAUAUGUUAAGUGGAAAAGGAUGUGGCGUUGCCCAGACAACUAGGAUGUUGGCUUAGAAGCAGCCAUCAUUUAAAGA